ensembl:lncRNA
AUGAUUUUAGGGGGCGGGGCUAGUUGCUGCUCCCUAAUCAUCAGGAGGAGGUGCUCCGGGGCGGUUGGCUUCUCCUUCUCGUCCGGGUCGUCCAGGUCCACCUCAUGGCAGACCAGCGCCUCCGGACCAAUCUGCAAUUCUACCUCCUCAGCGGGGGAGGAGUCUGGGGCAGGCGUCCCAGGAACCACCUCUGACUCUUUAGAGGCCAUCUUGGAAGGGACUGGGGGAGUUUCGGGACAAGGGGCCUCCAGCUGUCUCCUUUCAGGACGGAGCUUCUUGUCAGUUUCUCGCUGCUCUGCGGCCUUUCGUUUUAAUGUGGAGCUGCUCCUCUUCUCAGGAAUCUGCGGUGGGAGACUCGGGGGAGAGGCGCUGGGUGGGAAGGCAGUGGAGAACCACCAUGGGCUCGUCCUGUCUCUUCAGGACGCUACAAGGAGGAGACACCUCCUUGUGGGCAGGGCAGGUGCUGAGGAAGAUUCUGGGAGGAGUUUCGGAGACCGUCUCCCUGAGGGCCCUGCGACCUUUGACCCUGGGAGAGGACAGAGGAGUGGACCUGCUGUCCUCCUCCUCUGCUGA